GAUGAACGCUGGCGGCGUGCCUAAUACAUGCAAGUCGAGCGAACGGACGAGAAGCUUGCUUCUCUGAUGUUAGCGGCGGACGGGUGAGUAACACGUGGAUAACCUACCUAUAAGACUGGGAUAACUUCGGGAAACCGGAGCUAAUACCGGAUGAUAUUUUGAACCACAUGGUUCAAAAGUGAAAGACGGUCUUGCUGUCACUUAUAGAUGGAUCCGCGCUGCAUUAGCUAGUUGGUAAGGUAACGGCUUACCAAGGCAACGAUGCAUAGCCGACCUGAGAGGGUGAUCGGCCACACUGGAACUGAGACACGGUCCAGACUCCUACGGGAGGCAGCAGUAGGGAAUCUUCCGCAAUGGGCGAAAGCCUGACGGAGCAACGCCGCGUAAGUGAUGAAGGUCUUCGGAUCGUAAAACUCUGUUAUUAGGGAAGAACAUAUGUGUAAGUAACUGUGCACAUCUUGACGGUACCUAAUCAGAAAGCCACGGCUAACUACGUG
rnacentral:rRNA from 1 species